GUUAUUAAUCCCCAACCUAUGUUCGUGCGCCCCUAUGCACUGUUUUGUAACCAACCUUUCUUUAAUAAACUGUUAAACUGCGACUGAUGUACAGGCACAGUACAAGGUUUUCGGUACAGGUCAGAGUACGUUUCAGAAAAGAUGGGAUUGCUAUUUUUGCUGUUCGAACUUUCUUAGGUUUCGAGACGUGAGCUCGAGGCGAUGAAGGGUCGAGCCUGAGGGACUUCCCAUUUUUCAGUGUGUGUGUCGUGGUGGCGAGGAGCGGUGGUGUAGCUUCCUUUGGCUGCUGCUCCUCCUGCUCCUCCUUUCUUUUCCCCCUUUAGUCUUUUUUAACGCUUGUCCUCGUGUCCCUCUUCCUCCUCGUUGUCUUUCCAUCGUUAUCGUUAUCAUCAUCCUCGCCCUCUCCGCUGGCUUUGUGUUCCUCACCUUACAUCUGCAGAUGGGGCUCACAUUCCUCUUCCUUUUUCUGCUGAUUCAACGCUUCUCGAUUUUAGUUUUCUUUCUCCUCGUUCUCAUCUUUUAUCUUGUCCUCCACCACUCCUCUCCACACGAACAAGGACACACACACGCCACACUGUCACUGUCGAUCCGGUGUCAUUGCAACGUCUUGUUCAGGAAACCGGAACAAGGAGACAUGAAAGUUGGCGGUGCGUGUGGCUGUGGUGAGCGGCGGCGGCGGCGACGGCGGUGGCGGCGACGACGACGACGACGACGACGACGACGACGACGACGUGUGGCGUGGCGAGCGGGUUUCUGCAGUAUCCCUCUCCUUCCCGUUUUCUGUUAUUCCCCGUUCUCUUCCUCCGCCUAGUGUACUGCUACUCGCUCUUGUACGGUGACUUUUUUUUUUUCCUUCGUUACAAUAUUUUGUCUGUUUUCUCUUUUCUUUUCUUCUCGUGCUUUUUAUUCACAUUAUUAUUUCUUAUUCUAUUUUGUUUAUUUUGUGUGUUUGUACGUGUGUAUUUUCCUCUUCCACAUUUUAUUUGGAUUUUCUUAAUUUUUCUCGUAUUUUUCUAUUCUCCUAUUCUUCCUUGUAUCACACACACACACACACACACACACCGCGUAGUGUAGUGGUUGUUAGCACGCUCGGCUCACAACCAAGAAGGCCUGGGUUCGAAUCCCGGGAGCGACGAGGCAAAUGGGUGAGCCUCUUAAUGUGUAGCCCCUGUUCACCUAGUAGCAAGUAGGUAAGGGAUGUAACCCGAGGGGUUGUGACCUCGCUGUUUCGGUGUGUGGUCACACACAUACACACACACACUUCAUCGUCUCUUACUACCGAUGCCGUUGCUAUGACAAGUAUUUUAUAUUAAAUGAAUUUAUUAUUUAUUAAUUUAUUCGCUUAUUAUUAUUAUUAUUAUUAUUAUUAUUAUUAUUAUUAUUAUUAUUAUUAAAUAAUUUGCAUAUUUAUUUAUCUACAUAUAUUAUUUAUCUACAUAUAUUAUUUUUAUUUUAUUAUUAUUAUUAUUAUUUAUUUUAUUUAUUUAUUUUUAUUUUUGUGUGUGUGUCGGGGAUGAGUUUUACAGCUCUCAUCGCAAGUUGUAUUAAAAUUCAAUAGCCACAUUUGCUCGCUCGUGUAUAUAUUGUUUAGUGUUAUCAGCGGUUCUUAAGAAACAGGAUUUUAAGAGAUUAUAAACUUUACGUGAUAUUAA